AAUUCAAGGAUCUAUAAAGAGAGAACAAAACGAUGGCAUGAUAAGAGAAUCAAGCACAAGGAGUUUAAGCCUGGAGAUAAGGUUGUACUAUUCAAUUCAAGAGUUAAGCUCUUUGGGCAUGGUAAGCUACGAAGUAAGUGGGAUGGACCGUACAAGGUUAUUCACACUUCAACUCAUGGAGCCAUUACCAUCCAAGACGACAUAGGUAACACUUUUAAGGUAAAUGGUCAACGCUUGAAAAUCUAUCUCGAGCCACAAAACAACCUGGUAGAGGAACUUGAUGUGAUUGAGUUCAUAGAAUUCUCAUAUUAAGCUCUCAUAAGCUCUAGACAAUUACCUAACCCUUAACAUGUUCCACGAGUUUUGUUGUCUAUUUUGGUUGUGCAGGAUUUUGAAGCUUAAGAAGAGUGAGACCGGACAUGCAGGCCACAAGAGUGAACGACUAUGUCAACAUCCAGCUUGGGGGAGGCACCCCCACGUGUAUCUAGAUAAGUAUUACUUUUCUUCCUUUGGUUUUAUUUUCUAGUAUUCGGAAAUAAAUAAAUAAAUAAAAAUGCAUAACCAUGAAACCAAACAAAGUUUUUCUUUUGAGUAAUAUACAAUAGUUUUGUGUAAUUCUAAGUUUUAAAUAAAAAUAAAAAAAGUUUGACUCAAGUCUAGGUAAUUGACAAACAUGAUAUGAGAAGGUCUGAGCUACUAUUUAACUUGUUCUAAGUUUUGCUAGAGUUCUGGAGAUUUUAUCUUUUGAAAAUCUAAAAAUUCAUAAAAAAAUAAAUAUAUGAGAUCAUAAUACCUAGAGUCUUAUAAGAAAUAAAUAUUAAAACUGUGGGUACUUUCUUUGUUCAAGCCAUUGUUAAUUCUUGUAGUUUUGGUUGAGAGAAUUAUCAUGCUCCCAAGAUCAAGAUCUUUUUGUUUUAAAAAUAUAAAAGAUUCACUCUUCUGAAGUAUUAUUGCGUUAGAGGCAUGGGACUAUGCAAACAUUUGUUUCGAAAAAAAAGAAAGAGUGAGACGAGAGGUAAAAAUGGACAAGUGUCCGAAGUAGAAUUAGGGGUACAAAGAUACCCACUUGAGUGAAAAAAAUGGACAUGUGUCCGACAGUAGAAUUAGGGGUACUUGCUGCCCACUGAAAAAAGAGACUGAAAAAAAAGAAGAAGAAGAAAAAAAAUGAUAGCCCAUGGUCCCUCUAAUAAGCAAUAUGCGAGUAAGAGAUGACAAACUUCUCAAAAAGGUCAAAGGUCUUGAUCUAGGAGUAUGACAUUCCUCUCCCUUACUCCGAGCGUUGACAUAGCAAAAUGCAAAGUAAGUUUGCUAAAAUUUUUAAAGAUCUACUUAUAUAUCUUUCGAGAAGAAGGCAAAUGCCUCAGUUUUAUUUUGGAAACUUACAAACAACUCCAGAACAAAGGUAAGACAGAAGAACUUGAGACAUAGUGCUUAACUUGAUCGUUCUGUUUUUCAAUCACUUAAGACCUUAAAAACCCUGUAGUAAGAGGCAUAAAAGUAACCCCUGUUUUCUUGCUGAUUUUAGCUUUGCUCAGGGACAAUCAAAGGUUAAGCUUGGGGGAGCUUGUUGACGGUCCUUAAUGCUCACAAUUAACCAUCAACUAAUCAUAAAAAAGGAUCCAAAUGCAACCAACACCUAGACUUAGGGUUUUAUCUGACAGAAUUCCACAAGUUUUGGUGUUUGUCUAUUUUUGCAGGGGGUUAUCAGGAAAUACGAAAGAAAGCCCCACACGUCGGGUUUACAUAGAGAUAUUAACGUGCCGCACAAUUAUCUACCAUCUAGAAGACUCCAGAAGCCAUGGGAACGAACGGGAAGGAAAUCGGGCUCGGAGGCAGGGCGCCCGCCCAACUCUCCUGGGCGCCCGCCCAGCUACAGUGCCCAAUCAGGACACGUUUCGCGGAUUAUGCUCCACCGACCUAAAGGAUCAAGGAAAACCGUGCGAUCAAUGUCGGUUUGAUCCGACG
rnacentral:lncRNA from 1 species